UCUGUGAGGGGCCGUCGCUGUGAAGGAGGCUCCAGCAAAUGGGGCCCAGUCUUGGUUUGAUGAAGGGGAUGUGAUCCUUCGGGGAAGCACCAUCUCCCAACCUCCUCGGCAUCCAGUCCCCCUGCGCCCCCCCCCCGGCACUCGGUGGCGGGGGUGGGGGGAGCUCGCUGGAGCCGAGGGAAAGGGCCCCCUAACUCACCACUCCUGGUUGACCCCCACCAGGGCAAGCAUGCCUGAGCUCUUUACUGCCAGCCUCAAGGAGAGCAGAAGUCCCCUGCCCCUUGUAAAGACAAUUAGAGCCCUCCAAAGGUCCUCCUUUGGAAGUGAAAUGUAGCACAAUCUUAGACUGUGUGACUGGAGCCCUGGCCUGCAACCAGGGUUCUGGCUGCCCACCCUGCUGCCCAGGAGACGCUGUGCUGCCCCCACCCUGGGGCUCCAAAGCGCCUGAUACCUCUGCUUCCCCAUCUUCCUCCGCCCAGAGAGCAGCAGGGCUUCCAGAAGGCUGCUCUUCCGCUUCUGAUUGCUUCCUGCACUGUGCAAGCCCCGUGCAAGAAAUUGCUGCCUUUGCUCCACGGUGCCCUUUGGGGCCAGGAGGCGGUCAAGCGGGAGCGCUGCAGUGGCCACAGGAGAGAGACAAGAAGAGGCCUGCUGCCCUGCCGACUCCCGCCCCUUCCUCUGCCUCUCCCCGGUGUUGUCUUCUCUCCUUCCUCCUCUGCAAAACCAGAGCAUUUGGUAGUUACUCCAUGCUUCCCUCCAGGUGUUAAAAGUCUGGUCUGGAGCUGAUGAGGGUUGUGAGCCUGGCGUGCCUGGCACCUGGCUCCAGAGGCUGGUUCCUUCCAGCCCCCGGUGCCCACGCGGGUGCAGGUCUGGUCUGUCCCCGCCUAGAUGCUGCUUCUGACAAGAACUCUGGGAAUCCUCACGGCCUCUGCUGCCGCCUCUGUGGUUUGUUGUUCUGUUCUUGUGUGGUGAUGAGAUCAUUAAGGGUUGUCUACAGUGGACAAGUUCCAAGGUGCUGAUGUGAUGUCACAACCUCAGCUGCAUCCUGCGCCAGCCAGUAUCCCCACUGGCAGAGGAGGAUGGGUCGGUCCUCGUUCCUGCUUCUAGAAUGUGAUCAGCAGGAGGAUUUUUAAGGAGAUGCCUUCCGAUGGGAGGAGAGAGGAAACUUAUUUCCCUGCAAAGUAUUUCACUUCUUAAAUAUUACUCUUCUCUCCAGCAUGUCUCUUACCAGACAUCAUCUCAGAGGGCAGAGCGGCUGCUUCCUUAGCAAAAGUUGGCCUGAUGUACCAUCCGCUCCUUGAGAAUGUAAAUUCACAGGAGGCAGGAACCCCUUUUUUAGAAUUUCCAAAUGCAUCCUGCAGAGAGAGAGAGAGGCGCACACACGCGUGCACUGAGAGGGAGAUAAGCACAUUGUUUGGAUAAGAAGCAGUUAGCCUUUUAUCUCCGUGCGCUAUACAUUUUCUGUGUGCAGCGUCUUUCCAAACUCUCGGCUCCCAGGUGGCAGGUGGACGGCUGGGAAGGACUGCCAGCUGUUUCUUACAACACUCUUGCCAAUCCCCUUGAGGAGAGAAUUCUUCACAUGGCUUCUGCAUGUACAGUAUGUGGGCAGCAAAAAUAUAAAUAAAGAUUAAAGUCAGUUUGAAAAUGGCUUCAUGUGGUGCUUUCUGAAGAUGGUUCUUAAUUCUCAGAGAGAGAAAACAGAUUGCAGGUGAUUAAAACAAGGCAGCGAAGGAUGCCUUGGCUGAGAGGCAGAAGAGACUAGGCCAUCUCAGAAGAAGGCCUUAGAGUUCUGACCUGGGCCUCUGACUCCUGUUUGCGAACUCUGUUGCCGCAGUGAUGUCACCAGGCUGUGGAAUCUGACUGUUCCAGGCAGCAUCCCAGCUCUGUCUCCCAGGGUCCUUGCUUAUAUGCCCUCAAAGCCUUCAGUUCCUAGACUCCACAAGGGAUGCCCAGAGCCAGAUAGAGAGGAAGGUAAAAUGAGAGAAAGCCACUGCUUUCGACCCACGGUCUCUUUCUGAGCUCUUGGGGCCAGCAGCUCUGCUCAGGCAUGUGCCUGGGAGAGUCUUGCUUAUUCCAGCCACACCUGAUUAAAGCGGUAAGCGUAGCCUUGCCCUCCAGUGCUGUGAGCUACAGCAAUGCCUGGAACAUCCCCUUCCCUCCCUCCCUCAAGGAAGGACUCUUAGUCACUUCUGGGCAGCACCACUGUCCUCCUAGGACUGGGUCUGGGGCUACAGAAGAUGGCUACAGUAUAGCAGUGUUAUAGCACAUACCUGCUGGGGGAAAGACUGGCGUUGCCCCAUCCCACUCCGGACUGAUCGCCACUGCUUCGGCUCGGGCCCUUGGCCUUGCAGUUCCAGUGGACACCAUCUCUUAGUGGAAGGCUCAUGAGGUCGAUACAGAGGCUCUGGUGCUCCCCAGGGUUCCGUCUUUUACCUCUUUUCCACAUCUGCCCUCUCGCCGAGACAUCCCAUACAUUCACUCUCAUGAGUUUGAGAACUUCUGUACUUCUGGCCAGCACAGUUCUUAAGUAAAUAAAAAAAGAAUACAAGAGGGACAAACAACAGAAACUGAGAUCCAGAGAAAGAAUUUUUUUCUUUUGUUUUUGGUCUUUUAGGGCCACACUCACGGCAUAUGGAGGUUCCCAGGCUAGGGGUCCAAUUGGAGUUGUAGCUGCUGGCCUAUGCCACAGCCAUGGCAAUGCCACAUCCGAGCCCCAUCUGCAACCUACACCACAGCUCAUGGCAACACCAGAUCCUUAAUCCACUGAGUGAGGCCAGGGAUCAAACCCAAGUCCUCAUGGAUAAGAGUUGGGUUUGUUCCCACUGAGCCAUGAUGGGAACUCCCAGAGAAAGAAAUUCUAAAGGAUGUUCUUCAGAGAGAAGGACUAUAGUACAAACCUUAUAGGGUUACUGGGAGAUUAAAGUGAGGAAAAAGUGCUUAGAACCCAACAGGCACAUAGUAAAUGCUAUGUGUGCUCCUAUUAAGGAAAUGAUCCUUAACGGAAGGGCUGCAAUGUAAGGAAGAAAAAUGGGCAGAGGUAUCUUUUUAAGAUUACUAACAUGCAGAUUAUAGAACUAUGAUAAUGCUUAAUUUUUAAAAUUAAGUAGUGUAGUCAUGAUCUGAAAUACUGGAGAAUGAUAGCACAAAAACUGGUCCUUGGAAUAUUCUUAAGGAGGCUAAAGACAUUGAAUAGCUUCAGUCUUCCUUAAGUAUCCCUAAAGUCUAGAGUAAAUACUAAGAUAACAGAAAUAGAAUCAAGUAGAUGCAAAAAGCCCAAAUACAAACUAUAAAAUCCAACAGUGUAUGAAAAAUGAUAAUCAUAAUCAAGUGACGUUCAUCCCAGGGAUGCAAGGGUGGCUCAUGAGAAAAACUCAUCACUAUAAUUCACCACAGCAAUAGACUGAAGGAGGAAAAUCAUAAUUAUCCUGAUGCAGAAAAGGCAUUUCAUAAGAUUUAAUCUUAUUUGUAAUAAAACUUUGGGCAAAUAGAAGGAAACUUUCUUAAUUUGAUAAGAGGUAUAUACAAUACACCUAUAGCAAAUAUUAUGUUAAAAAGAAA
rnacentral:lncRNA from 1 species